UGCGGAGAGGCUGCCCGCUGAGCAGAGAGGAGCUUCCCCCACCCCGGGAUGCCCAAGGCCUCUGGGGAGUGAAGGCAACGCCAGAGCUCCCUGGGGCCCUGCUCGGGCCGGGAGAGGCAGGCCUGCCCAACACCCUAUGUGCUUGGCCCAGGACCCCGGGCUCCAGGCUGAGGGCGGAGGUGGCUGGUGGCUUUCGGGGCUGCUCAGCGAGGCUGUCAGCUCUCCCAGCGCCCUGUCCCCCCAUGCCCUCCCCCGUCCCCGGCUCGGUUUAAUGUCUUCUCCAGCAGAGCAGCUUCUCUUCCUGCAGGUGGAGAAGAGAGAUGAGCUUUUGACCACAGAAUGAAGACAGCAGGAAAUGUAACAUGAAGCAGUUCCGUUAUAAACUAGUCCGGUGGAGAAGAUCAAAGGCUGGAACUCAGAACCCUGAGAAUCUUCUGCCACUGCUUUGCUACGGGAAGAUGUGAGGGUCUUCGUGACCUGGGAGGGCCUCAGAGGCAGUCAGCUGUCUCCUCGGGGCCCAGAGCAGUGGAGGGGCUGGAUGUCGCCUUCACUGACCUGCUCCAGGGAAUUCUCAGGGGACUGCCUGGCCUCCAUGCGUCCUGCGGCUCAGACCCUCAAGACCAUCCACCGUCAUCUUGAGACCCCCAUACUGGCCCGGCCAGCGGAACGCAUGGGGACCUGCCAGCGUGGACCCCACCAGCACCCAGCUAGAUGCAGAAACCAAGGCACAGAGACUGUCACAUGCUGUACAAGCCACCAGAGGAUUCAUUGGUUGAGAAAACUCACAAGGACAAAAAGCUACUUUGAAUUCAGUAGUGGUUUAAAAUCAAUUUGUAUUUGAUUAUUCGUAACCACAUGUAUCUGCAUCUGAAAAAUAACCCUGAGAUGGGUAUUAUUUAUUCCGUCUACCAGUACAUGUUACGUGGGUGGAUCUUGGUCUCUGCAUUAAGACUGCAGUCCCGGGCUUCCCUGGUGGCGCAGUGGUUGAGAAUCUGCCUGCCGAUGCAGGGCACACGGGUUCGAGCCCUGGUCUGGGAAGAUCCCAUGUGCCGCGGAGCAACUAGGCCCGUGAACCACAACUACUGAGCCUGCGCGUCUGGAGCCUGUGCUCCGCAACAAGAGAGGCCCGCGCACUGCGAUGAAGAGUGGCCCCCGCUUGCCGCAACUAGAGAAAGCCCUCGCACAGAAACGAAGACCCAACACAGCCAAAAAUAAAUAAAUUAAUUAAAAAAAAAAAAAGACCGCAGCCCCCAGGGAUCAGGCCACACACUGGCCCUUGUGAAUCUACGUUCCAUGUUCAACAAAGCCAACAACUCCUGCUUCCCCAUCCCUCUUGGACAGCAGUGACAUAAGACAGAAGCAGACAGGACAGUAAGCAGAGAGACCCGAUGGGAAUUGUUGGCAAGACAGAAACGGGAGGGGUGAAAAUGCCUGCAAUGACGCCCCAGGAUGGACUCCUUGGCGCGGCCUGUGCCUGGCCUGCCACGGCUCCCACGCUCACGGGGGCAGAAGGUCGGCGCAGCAGAGCGCUCAGCAGGGGCCGGAUGCCUGGGGCUCGGAUGGGGGCCCCACCAUGAGUGCUUUCUGCUCACCAAGGAUCAUAAUUGGUCCAGUUAGACCUGGAGGGGCCCAUGCAGAGGUGGGACGGGGAGACGGCUGGGAGGAGCCCAUCACUUCUUUUGAGGCGAGAAGGGUCAGAGGACAGAGCCGAGGAGGGACCCAGGGAGACUGACCGAUUCUGCCCGGGGCCUGGCUGGCUUUGGGGGCCUCCCUGGGGUGGGCGCUUCUUCCUGGAGUCCAGCCAGGCUCUCAGAGCGAGGAGUUGUGCUGGUGCAGGGCCUCUACCAGGGGACCACUCCUCAAAUGUCCGGAUUCCUUGCAGAUCUCAAAGCAGAAAAUGCAAAAGCCUGGGAGUUGGGUCAGCCUUUUUCUUUUUCAUUGUUCCUUUCUGAGAUUAGAUUUGGGUUGACUGCAUACGUCAGCAUCCCGGCCUCCCCGGGGAAUGAGAAGCAGACCUCUAUCCCCGCACGCAACCCCCAGCCUCCCCGACUCCCUCCUUCCCUCUGUGGCCUCCUCCUCCUCCGUCUCCCCUCCCUGCUGGCACCCAGGGCUCAGUCAUGAUGCAACUGCAGGCAAAGGAGGCUCGGCGGGGCCUCAGCUGUCACUCCCUUCUCUGGCCAGCAAUGUGGCCACCUGCCCGGGGAGGUAGGCUGGGUGGACCGGGGGACUCAGUCUUCUGAAAGCUGCUCAGGAGCUGGAGUUGGACUUUGCAUCUUGCUGUCCUUUUAUUAAAUGAUUUCAGGAUCAUGUAACAUGUUGAUAAAGGAGGAUUGAAAAUACAA